rnacentral:rRNA from 1 species
CUACGGGCGGCUCCAGUGAGGAAUAUUGCACAAUGGGGGGAACCCUGAUGCAGCAACGCCGCGUGGAGGAUGACGCAUUUCGGUGUGUAAACUCCUUUAUAUGUCAAGAAAAUGACGGUAGCAUAUGAAUAAGCACCGGCUAACUCCGUGCCAGCAGCCGCGGUAAUACGGAGGGUGCAAGCGUUACUCGGAAUCACUGGGCGUAAAGGACGCGUAGGCGGGUUGGAAAGUCAGGUGUGAAAUCCUACAGCUUAACUGUAGAACUGCACUUGAAACUUCUAAUCUAGAGUAUGGGAGGGGGAGAUGGAAUUUGUGGUGUAGGGGUAAAAUCCGUAGAUAUCACUAGGAAUACCUAAAGCGAAGGCGAUCUCCUGGAACAUUACUGACGCUAAGGCGUGAAAGCGUGGGGAGCAAACAGGAUUAGAUACCCGAGUAGUC